rnacentral:rRNA from 1 species
CUCCACAGUUAAGCGCGCUUGAGCCAAAGGCGUCUUGGGAUGGGUGACCACCUGGGAAGUCCUGGUUACCGGGUGCA